AACGAACGCUGGCGGCAUGCCUAACACAUGCAAGUCGAACGAGACCUUCGGGUCUAGUGGCGCACGGGUGCGUAACGCGUGGGAAUCUGCCCUUGUGUUUGGCAUAACAGUUGGAAACGACUGCUAAUACCGGAUGAUGACGUAAGUCCAAAGAUUUAUCGCCCAGGGAUGAGCCCGCGUAGGAUUAGCUAGUUGGUGGGGUAAUGGCAUACCAAGGCGACGAUCCUUAGCUGGUCUGAGAGGAUGAUCAGCCACACUGGGACUGAGACGCGGCCGAGACUCCUACGCGAGGCAGCAGUGGGGAAUAUUGGACAAUGGGCGAAGGGCUGAUCCAGCAAGGCCGGGUGAGUGAUGAAGGCCUUAGGGUUGUAAAGCUCUUUUAACCGGGAUGAUAAUGACAGUACCGGGAGAAUAAGCCCCGGCUAACUCCGCG
rnacentral:rRNA from 1 species